AAAUGGGAUCGGGGCACCCCAAAACCUGUCAGGGACCACAAAAAUGGGACGGGGGCAACCCAAAAUCUGCCAGGGACCCCAAAACUCACAAGGGUCCCCAAAUCUAGGGAGUGGGACCCCGAAAUCCAUUGGGGACCCCAAAUCCAUGGUGUAGGACCCAAAAUCCAUCGGGGACCCUAAAUCUGGGGAGUGGGACCCCAAAACCUUCCAGGGACCCCAAAAUCUAUCAGGGACCCCAAAUCCAUGGGGUGAGACCCCAAAAUCAUCCAGGGACCCCAAAACUAGGGCCUGGGACCCCAAAUCCAACCAGGGACCCCAAAAUCCAUCAGGGACCCGAAAUCCAUCAGGGACCCGAAAUCUGGGGAGUGGGACCCCAAAACCCAUCAGGGCCCCCAAAUCUAUGGGGGGGGAUCUGGGGAGGGACCCCAAAUCCGUGAUGUAGGACCUGAAACCCACCAGGGACCCUGAAUCUGGGGAGUGGGACCCCAAAUCCUGGGAGGGACCCCAAAUCUGUCCUCAGGUGUCUCUCACCUGUCCCAGGUGUUCACCUGCGGCCCGUCCCCGCACUGGGUCCUGCUGAUGGGCUCUGAGUGCCCCAUUCCUGGGGGUCCCUGUCCCCAUCCCCAGGUGUCCCCAGGUGUCUCACCUGUCCCUCCUGCCCAGGUGUUCACCUGCGGCCCCUCCCCGCACUGGGUGCUGCUCACGGGUUGGGGUGCUCUGGGUGCCCCAUUCCCGGGGGUCCCUGUCCCUAUUCCUGGCAGGUUUUGGGUGUCCCUGUCCCCAUCCCCGGGUGUCCCCAGGUGUCCCCAGGUGUCCCUCACCUGUCUCACCUGUCCCAGGUGUUCAUCUGCGGCCCGUCCCCGCACUGGGUGCUGCUCACCGGCCGGGGCGCUCUGCGCCUGCACCCCAUGGGCAUCGACGGCCCCGUGGAAUCGUUCGCGCCCUUCCACAACGUCAACUGCCCCAAGGGCUUCCUCUACUUCAACCGCCAGGGUGAGUUAAGGAUCAGUGUCCUCCCUGCUUACCUGUCCUGUGACACACCUGAGCCAUUCUGGGAUAUUUUGGGUUAAUUUUGGGAUAUUUUGGUUAAUUUUGUGAUAUUUUAGGGUAAUUUUGGGGUGUUUUCGGGUGAGCUGAGGAUCAGUGUCCUCCUCACUUACCUCUCCUGUGACACACCUGAGCCAUUUUGGGAUCACUUUGGGAUAUUUUGGGAUAUUUGGGGUUAAUUUUGGGAUAUUUUGGGGUGUUUCAGGCUGAGUUAAGGACCAGGAUCCAUUUUUGGGGCAAUUUUGGGAUAUUUUGGGG
rnacentral:lncRNA from 1 species